AUGAACAUUUAAAGAGAGAGCUUUUCAUGGAAGCCAGCAGAGAACAUAGGAGCCAGAAGCUCUUUAGACUCGGAGUCUGUUCAGACAUCAUACUGGCCAGAAAGAAGACUGCAAGAGGAUCAGAAGGGUUGAAGGACUUGAUUGGAGAAGGACAUCCACCAGUAAUAUGUUCUCCAUACUCCCUGAAAUGUCCUAGAGGAGCCUCUCAGACAUAGAAAUCUAGAAGGAAUUUCCCACCAUGUGCAGAAAUAUGAACUACACACAGCAGAUUUGCAGCCUCUACAAGAAGAUGGUAGAAGACAUGAACAAUGAAUUGGAGAGAACCACUUCCUUUUACCAAAGGAUAUUUUCUUCUAUGAGGAAGAGCUCAAGAAAGCUGGGCAGCAGUUCUGCUGACUGAGAUAAAGCUCCAUGAGCUAAGACAAGAAAAUGAUGGCAACAGACAUACACAUGGGGCUAGCUUGAAGGUGACACGCAGUGGCACGGAAGCAUGGCUCUGCAUGGAAAGGGAUCCCAUAACCAGAC